GGAGGCGGGGGAGGCGUGCGCUCCGGAGCGAGCCCGGGGCGGCGAGGCGGAGACAGCCAGGCCACGGGCCGCCGAGCGUGCCCGCCCAGGCGACCCGCCCUCCCGGCCGCGGUGCGGACCGACCGACCGACGGCGCUGCGUGCAGGAGGCGCCCGGCCAUGUUCAGCCGGAGCUCCCGGAAAAGACUCUCCAGCCGCUCGUUGACUGGACUGGGGCGGAUAGAGAGAGGCCAGCCAUGUAACGCCUGUGGUGACCAGUGCCCCGGGUUCGCCUUGCAUAAAUGGAGAUGGUGGCACACCAUAGCUCCUUCCUCUUUGUCAUUCAAAAGUAGAUCUUGGAGAGGGGCGCCUGGGUGGCUCAGUCGUUAAGCGUCUGCCUUCGGCUCAGGUCAUGGUUCCAGGGUCCUGGGAUCGAGCCCCGCAUCGGGCUCCCUGCUCUGCAGGAAGCCUGCUUCUCCCUCUCCCACUCCCCCUGCUUGUGUUCCCUCUCCCGCUGUGUCUCUGUCAAAUAAAUAAAUAAAAUCUUUAAAAAAAAAAAAAAGAUCUUGGAGAGCUUUUAGUAUCAGUUACAUAAAUAUUCUUUUAAAAAAAUGACUGUAAAAUCCCAUUAUAUAGCUGUACCAUAAUUUAUUUUUACCAGAUCUUCACUGAUGAUCAUUUAGGAUAUUUAAAAUUUCUGGUUGUUGCAAAUGUUGCUUGAGUAGACAUUCUUAUCUGUAGAUCAUCAUUGCCUUUAUGCAUGAAAAUAUCUGUAGGAUACAUUUCUAGAAGUGGAAUCACCGGAUCAAAGGGAAUACACAUUUCAAUUACAUGAAUAUUGUUAGAAGGAAAAAAGUUGGUUUUUGAAGAUGUAGCUAUCAGUGUGUAUGGGGGUAGAAGACUAAUUUUCAAUGGCUAAGCAUUUAAGUUCAACAAGCUCUUUGGAAUGCCAAUUAAAACCUUCUUUUUUAUUGUGGUAAAAUAAACAUAACUGGAAUGCCAUUUGUAUUCAUUACUUUGAUUUGCCAGCCUCAAGUUUUUGCAAAACCACUAAAUUGGAUUUAACUUCACUGUACUGAGAUAGGAGUUAUUAAAUAUUUUUCUCCUGAUAGAGUCUCUGUGGGAGUAAGACACGCCAUCCCUACUGUGGACAAGGACCGACAUGCUGUCAACAUUCAGCUACUGAUCAUGCCCACGGUGCGGUACUGAAUGUCGAGUGUAUCCUAAUGGGAGUUUGUGUUCUGUCACAAGGUU